CCAGAGCUCUGCGAUCCCUGAAGCAGACUCCCAGGUGGCACAGAGGUGUGUCGGGGACGCAGCGUUUUCAUAGACCUUGAAUUCUAGUUCAGGUCCGCCCACUCCUAAAAGA